rnacentral:lncRNA from 1 species
CUUCUGCAGGCUACCUGUUCCUUGCUCUCCCCCUUCCACCUCCUAAAGUCACGAAUCUUUCCUCCAAUAAGAAAUCAGAUGAUGGAGGCAUGGAGGAGGAGGAGGUCUCUGAAAGGACCAGUCUGGUGGGUGGGGGCUCAGGUGGAAUAGGAGCUCUGGGGUGGAGUUUGGGGGCCUGGGAGGAGUCUAGGGCGGAAGAGGGCUCAUUCCAGAGGCUGAGGCAUUUCGGGUGAUUGGAGGGCAGGGCUUGUGGAGGAGAGGUAGAAAGGGUCCCUAGCUCUUGGCCCUGGGUGUGACUGGAAGACACAGCCCUGCCUGGGCGCCUCAGAGGCUGGGCAGAGGGUGGGAGUUCCCUCCCAGAGUGGGCUGUCUGAAAACAGGAACAUUUGUCGCGAGAUUACUCUGUCUACUUCCCAUGUAGCUGAACUAUUUCCGCCUUCCCUGCGACUGAGAUCUCUGCCUUCUUCCCUAGGAAUUGAGAUCUCUCCGCCUUCCGUUAGAGCUGAAAUCACACUGCCUUCACUUGGACCCGAGAUCUCUGCCUUCUGCACACCAGCUCUGUGGGGUCAGUUCCCAGGUGUGUGUGCUGAAGACCAAGGCCUGGCCUAAGCAGGGAGCCAGGAGACAGAAGGAAUGGCCCCUGGGAGCUGCAGACCCCUACCCCAGCUGAACUAUUUCCGCUUUCCUUGCAACUGAGAUCUCUGCCUUAUUCUCUGGGAAUUGAGAUCUCUCUGCCUUCCUUUAGAGCUGAGAUCACAGUCCUUUCACUUGGACCUGAGAUCUGUGUCUUCUGGACACCAACUCUGUGGGGUAGGUCCCAGGUAGGUCUGAGCCAGCCCCUCACAGACCUGCUGGCUUCUGUUGACUGUUUAUAUUAUUGGGUCUCAUCCUUGUCCUCUGACCACAUGCUUCAGGUCCACCUGGAGCAAUCCUGCUUCCCUAGCCUUGCUGCUGAACAAGGUUCUCGCUGCUAACUUUUUUCCAGACUGGAAUCACUUCCCAUGAGUGUGGGUCACCCUCCCCAGGUUUAGGAUUGGUUCACUUUUCCCAGAAUUCAAACCUUAUUAUCCACAGGGACCAAGGAAUUCCUGUCUUGAGUGAAAGAGAAGUGAAAGGCUUGAGUGAACCCUCGAAUGCAAGAGUAAAGGGCGUGGAUCUGCUUCAAAAGAAUUGGACCACUCAAGCCUUCUUUCAGACAGAGACAAGGUUUAUUGUGUCACCAACAGAAGCAAGGGAGAUUUUAAGAAUCUCUGUAUUCUGUAGGGGCAAAACUGACUUUUUUUUAGGGUAAAAGAUUGUGGGAAGAUUUCAGAUGGGAUGUAGAGGGGCAAAUACCUUGUGGCAAUCUAGAGGUAACUGAGAAAAGGGGUCUAGAAGGGAUUAAGGGGUGGGAAGUAGCCCAGGCUGAUCCAGAGGUAACAGACAAAGGAGGGGCCACAAUGAAAGGACAGUUGAAAGAAUUAUUGAGUAUAUAGGUGGGGAUGCAUGGGAAAGUUCUGGAGCUGGGUUGCUUUUUUGGGGUCCAGGUGCCAUACCCCAUCAGAGGGAGAUCCCUGAUUCAGAAGCCUUUGAGACUUUGACUGGUCUCAUCCCAUCUGGGAUCCCAAGCCACUUCUGCCUUUUGAUUCUCUGAAGGAGAAUGGGGGAAAGGAAGGGGACAGAAGAGAAGGAGUUGGAGAGGGUGUGACCAUCUUUUCCAAGUCUGGUCCUACCCUUAAGUUGCAGUCUCUGCCCUGAGGUCAGGGCCUCACCCCCUGUAAAUUCCUACAGGCUAGCCUCCUGCCCUGGGAUCCUUCUCCCUCCCCAGGUGUGUGUGCUGAAGACCAAGGCCUGGCCCAAGCAGGGAGCCAGGAGACAGAAGGAAUGGCCCCUAGGAGCUGCAGACCCCUACCCCAGGUGAGUGCACUC